ACGGACGCUGGCGGCGUGCCUAAUACAUGCAAGUCGAGCGAAGUUUUUCUGGUGCUUGCACUAGAAAAACUUAGCGGCGAACGGGGGAGUAACACGUAAAGAACCUGCCUCAUAGACUGGGACAACUAUUGGAAACGAUAGCUAAUACCGAAUAACAGUAUUUCUCGCAUGAGAGAUAUUUAAAAGUUGGUUAUGCUAACACUAUGAGAUGGCUUUGCGGUGCAUUAGCUAGUUGGUGGGGUAAAGGCCCACCAAGGCGACGAUGCAUAGCCGACCUGAGAGGGUGAUCGGCCACACUGGAACUGAGACACGGCCCAGACUCCUACGGGAGGCAGCAGUAGGGAAUCUUCCGCAAUGGGCGAAAGCCUGACGGAGCAACGCCGCGUGAGUGAAGAAGGAUUUCGGUUCGUAAAGCUCUGUUGUUAGGGAAGAAUGGAUAUGUAGUAACUAUACAUGUAAGAGACGGUACCUAACCAGAAAGCCACGGCUAACUACGUG
rnacentral:rRNA from 1 species